rnacentral:tRNA from 1 species
GAGAACCUAGCUCAGUGAUAAGAGUGCAUGCUUAGCAUGCAUGAGGUCCUGGGUUCAAAACCCAGCAGUCCCA